rnacentral:rRNA from 1 species
GUGGGGAAUAUUGGGCAAUGGGCGCAAGCCUGACCCAGCAACGCCGCGUGAAGGAAGAAGGCCCUCGGGUUGUAAACUUCUUUUAUCAGGGACGAAGAAAAUGACGGUACCUGAUGAAUAAGCCACGGCUAACUACGUGCCAGCAGCCGCGGUAAUACGUAGGUGGCAAGCGUUAUCCGGAUUUACUGGGUGUAAAGGGCGUGUAGGCGGGAUCGCAAGUCAGAUGUGAAAUUCCAGGGCUCAACCCUGGACCUGCAUUUGAAACUGUGAUUCUUGAGUGUUGGAGAGGCAGGCGGAAUUCCGUGUGUAGCGGUGAAAUGCGUAGAUAUACGGAGGAACACCAGUGGCGAAGGCGGCCUGCUGGACAAUAACUGACGCUGAGGCGCGAAAGCGUGGGGAGCAAACAGGA